CCUGUCUCUUCUCUCUGUGGAGCCACCAUGUGAGCCCAGGAAAACAGGAUGUCUUCCACUCGUGUCCUCCAUAAGAUAAGUCUUAUGAUUAUUGUUGAUAAUUAAGACUGUGCUAACAGAUGAGAAAUCCUAGUCAUUGGCCAGGCAGCAUUUAUACCUUAUAAUAUAAGUCUCUGUGUGCUACCAUAAUGUGGUGGUGGGUGGAACUUGGAUGGCCUGUUGGAAAGCUCCCACAUGGCAGCAGGGCUUGGGUGGCUUCAGUGGAAAGACUUAUUGUUACAAAUGAGUAACUAGUGAACCAAAGCAUGGCCUAGUUCUUGGGGAAAAGACAUUGCAAACAGCACUGAGAGAAAAAUACAAGACUAUGAAGUCUUUUUGUCAACUGGCACAGAGUCAUUGUAUGUGGUCCUGGGUUUCAUGAAGACAUUUUCACACAAGCAUAUAAUGUACUUUGAAUGUACUACCUUCUCAUGGCUCUGCACCACUGCUUUCUGCUACUCCCCUCUCUUCAGUUCCUUGUAUUUCCUUAGAUAGCCUCAUUUCUCCUUUAAUGUAACAUAUGCACAGAUGAUUUUAUGAAUCUAUAUAAAACCAAGGAAGCACAAAUAAGAGAACUCAUGUGAUAUUUGCCUAAGACUAGAUUAGUUCAGUAGAAUGAUCCUCCAGCACAUUCAUUUUCUUGCAAAUGGUAUAGGCACAUUCUUCUCUAUGGCUGAGUAAUAUAUGGCUGAGUAAUAUGCUAUUGCAUAAGUACAUCAUGUUUCCUUUGGUCAUUCCUGUGUUAGUAGACACCUAAACUGGCUCCAUAGCCUUUGUUGGGAGUGCUGCAAUAAACAUUUCUGAACAAAUCUCUCUGUGAUUUAUUGACUCGAGUCUUUGGGUAAAUACCAAGGAGAGGUAGAGCUGGGUCAUAUGAUACAUCUCCUUUGCAGUCUUUGAGGGAGCUGCAUAUUGAUUUUCAUUAUAUUCAUUUCCACUAGCAAUAUAUAGCUGUUCCCUUUUGUCUGCUCCCCCAUCAGCACUUUCUGUCAUUUUUUCAAGGUUGCCAUUCUGAACAGGGUGAAAUGGAAUGUCAGGCUAGUUUCAUGGAGAAUUUUUCUGUUAGUUAGUGAUACUGAUCAUUUACGUGCGUGCAUUGCCAUUAGUGCUUUAUCUUUGGAGGGCUGUCUGUUCAUUUCCUUAGCCCAUUUAUUGAUUAGGUUUGAGUUCUUGUUAGUUUUUUUUUUCAGUUUUUUGUAUAUUAAUCCCCUGUCACAUUUGUAGUUAGCAAAGGUUUUGUGCUAUUCUGUAGGCUGUCAUUCAACUGUUUCCUUUGGUGUGUGGCACUUUUUAAUUUCAGGAAGUGCCAUCCGUCCAUGGUUGGUGCUCUUUCCUGAACUAUUCUUUCAACAAAUUAAAUGCCCGUGCAUGUACCCUGCAGCACUUGCUCUACUUUUCAUUUUAAUAGCUCAGAGUUUCAGGUCUUACACUGAGAUUUGUCAUUGUUUGCCUAUUGCUAUGACAAAACAACACGAGCAAGGCAACUUAUAAAAGCAAGCAUUUAAUUUGGGGCAGUCAAAGAUCCAGAGGGUGAGUCCCUGAUUAUCACUUCAGGGAGCACAGCAGCGGGCAGGCAGGCAUGGAGCUGGAGCCGUAGCUGAGAGUUUACAUCUAAUGCACAAGCACAAGGGGUGGCGGGGGAGAGGAAGGAAAGAAAUUAAUGGACUUUUGAAAUUUCAAAUUCCACCUCCAGUGACAACGCCUCUUCCAACAAGACCACACCUCUGAUCAUUUCCAAAUAGUUCACCAACUGGGGACCAAACACUCAAACACAUGAGCCUAUGGGAGCCAUUCUCACUCACACCACCAUAUUCCCCUCUGUGGCCCCCAUGGCCUUGUGACCAUGUUAUAAUGUCAAAUGCAUUUAAUACAACUUCAGAAGUCCCCAUUGUCUUUCUCAGUCUCAACACAGUUUAAAAGUCCAAAGCCUAUUCUGAGACUCAAGGCAAUCUUUUAGUUGUAACCAUUUGUAAAAUCAAAAAGCAAAUCACACACUUUCAACAUAUAAUAGCACAGAGUAUAUGUUACCAUUCCAAAAGGGAGGAAUAGAGCUAUGUGAGGAAAUACUGCUGAGUGAAACUGAGGACAUGACUGCUCCGAGGUAUGGUUGAGGAGAAGGGUUUUACUGUAGAUAGGAGGGAACUGCCAGAGGGAGCCUAAAGGGUUCAAGCUGAACCAGGUCAUGAGAGGACAGAGGGUGGCUGUGGGAAGGGGGUGAGAGAGGAAGAGAAGAGAGAGAGGAGGAGACAGAGCAAGUGGAUCAAGAGAGGAGCUGAGGAACAAGAGGAGAAACGGGGGGAGGGGUGGUGGCAAGAGAUCACAUGGCACAAACGGUGGAUUUAUAUAGGAAAGAUACUGAGGGAAGGGGAGCUGGAGAGGCUUAGGGUUGGGAGCAGGGGUGAGAAGCACAGAGAGGAAACAGGACUCUGUAACAGAUACUUGCAAUACUGAGAGAGCCUGGCAGCUUGUGCAUGCUUUGGUGUGUUAAAUAGACAUCACAGUUAGCUGUUUCAACUGGACCAAAACAAGACUGAAACCCAGCCGGACAAACUCUAAAUCCUGUAACUAUAUGUUUAAUGUCAAAGGGCUUAGAUUGCACCAGUUUUACAGCUUUGAUAACGACAAUACACUUCUCUCUUUAGGGCUGGUUCCAUUCCCUUCUUGGAGCUCUUUCUGGUAGACAACGCAGUACUCUGGCACAAUCAACAUCUUGGGGUCUUGAAAGUAAUCUAGACUUCAUCAUCAUAGCCUCACUUGACCACUAUGGUUCUCCCAUCAUAUGCCUGGCUUCAACAGCUCCCUUAACAGUGGGAGAAGCUUCCUCAACCCCUUCACUCCUGUAUCCUUCAUAACUUUAAAACCAAAACAAAGUGGCCUGUACUGCUAAGUUUUGCUACCUGUUUAUAACGGAACCUAAUCUCCUGCUUGAAUUUCAUUUGCAUAAGCUUUGAUUUGUUGAUACUUUCAUUUGUUAAGUAAGCUUUCCUUUCCUCUAGGAGAAGAUUCCUUAGGCAUUUCCUGUUUACAAGUUGGAAGUGUCUAUGGAUGGAUUCUUGCCCUAUGAGCAUCACUUUCUUUAUUCCACUUCCAGUCAGAAACAAAGCAAUUGUUUCGUAAGACCUGAGGGGCCACAGCUCUACUCUUUCAUCUGGAGGGUCUCAUGUUCCCCCCAAGUGGGUGCCAAUGGACUCUACAGUUCCCUUGCAACUAGCCUGGUUUGUUUAUAUGGUGGAUUACAUUGACAGAUUUUCAUAUGUUGAACCAUCUCUGCAUCUCAGGGAUGAAGCCUACUUGAUCAUGUUCGGCUGCAGUGAACAUCUGGGUAUCCUGUAAUUGCUCUUUGUUCUGACCGUCCUUCCUGGAGAGAACCAGAUGCACCGGAGGUUUGGACUUAAACUUCUCAGUGUCCAAGAGCUGCUGCUUUUCUAAAGGAAGCAGCUGAAGUGAUGCUAAAUAUUCUUUAAAGAGCAUCUAACAACGAUGCGGAUGCGUGAUGCUGACCGGAACUGGAAAACUAGGACUGCUUUUCUCCCCUUUCACUCCCUAGCAACAGAGUAAAACAGGAAGCCCGAGGGCAAGAGAGUCUGGGAAGUGCAGGCUGUAAAGUUCCAGCAUAGACCUGAGUGGAGAAGAGCAUGUUUGGUGUGGAGCAGUAGUAGAGUUAAUGAGGCAGCAUAGUCCGUCACACAGAGCCAGGUAGGAAUGGGAUGGUGGUGGGGUCAUGGUAUGACCGAGGAGAGAGAGGAACACUGCUUAUCUUUUGAAAAUCACAAUUUAGAUAUGCACGCUACAAAAGACAUGAGUGCAUUUGCAUCACUUUCAUCGCCAUGGCGGCAUGUGCUACCCCUGUGCAGAGAUGCACAGAGAAAAAGAGUGCUCGGGCCGCUGAGCCCACUGUAAAAGCCAGGAUGAUAGUUUUAUCAGCAGAGCCUGCCGGAGGAUGGAUGGAGAGAACUGACUCCACACAGCACCUGAGCAUUCACUGUCUACCUCCCUGGCACACACACACACACACACACCACACACACACACACACACACACACACACACACACCCAAUAAUAAGUAAAUAGUUCUAAAAACAAGUAAGGGUUAUUCACAUUGAAAAGCAGGAGUCCAUCUACCCUGUGUGCAGAUGACAUGAGUGUGUGUGUGUGUGUGUGUGUGUGUGUGUGUGUGUGUGUGUGUGUGUGUAUCCCUGAAGAUUCAGUUAAGACUUUAUUAUACUACAGUCAGUAGUAUUUCUAUCAACCAACUGAAAAAUAAAUCAAUACUACAGUAACCAUCAAAAUAAUUACCCAAACAAAGUACUUGGAGAUAAAUUUAUUCAAAAAGGUGAAAAGAACUUCACAAUGAAACUAUAAAGUGCCAAUGAAAAAUUUGAAGAGGACACACCAAAACACACACACACACACACACACAGACACACACACACACACACACAAACACAUUCCCUAUCCACGGAUUAGAAAAGCUAAGACUGUUCAAGUGUCUGUUCUGUCUCAGAGAACCUCCUCAUUCAUUUGUCCUUCAUGGAAGUAGGAGAAAAAAAAAAAAAACUUCCGAAUUUAUACGGAACCAAAGCCACCCUGGAGAGGCAAAGAAAUCCUGAGCACAAGAAAUGAAGCUGUGGCAUCCUUUCUCUUCCUCCACUGACUGCAACACUAAACAUAAUAACACUUUAAAACAUCUACCAUUUCUCAGAGUUGCUGUCAAUGCUCAUCUUCUCUCCAGGGUUUGGACACUCUUCUCCCACUGGGUACCAGUUUCUGUCUGAAUUGUAAACAGUCUGGCCCUCUAACCUGCAGGGAAAGAGCAUUCAUGUGGCAUCUGCACUUGGUGUCUUCAAAGAUACUGCCGUUUAAUUGAGAAAAACAUACCCUGCCUCCUCACCAUCACUAAGAGGCUCCUUCAUAUGGGUGAGGACUCAGAUUGGGGAGGGGGGGAAGGCUGGAAACCACAGGCCAACCUAUGGUUUCCUAGCCUGGUGGUGUGUCCAGAGCACAGAAAGAGUAGUUUUCUUGAGACUGGGACUUAAGGUCUGGACCAUGACACCAGUGACUAUAUUUCAUAGCUUGGGGGCAUAGAGACAUCUCAGAGGUAAUCUAACUUGCCCCUUUCCAAUACAGGAACUCCAAUACACAGAAGCUUGCUGUGCUUGGCCAGCCAUGCUGACCUCUGCCACAAUGACUUUCUAGUGACUGCAGGCGACUGAGACUUGCACCCAAGUCUUAACUUUACAGAUCAGGAGACGAGAAAAGAUGUAAGAGCCUUUCCAAAUUCAAAGAUUAGAUCAAAGACCCAGCAAUUAAAAUAGUUGCAAGUUUCAGGGCAGUCCAGGCCACACAGAGAAACAUUGCCUCAGAAACAAAUAAACAAACAAACAAACAAACAAAAGCAAACAGCAACAACUAAGUCACUAAUCCAUCUUCUUGCUCCAUUACUCAGUUUGAUUGACUUGCUUCACCUUAAUCUUUGGACUGUUAAAUACACUUCAGAGUAUGGCUGGUUUGUCAAUGUCAAAGCUAUCCUUGGAUCACAUUUUUAAAAAUUCAAACACCCGUUUAUUUAGCAGAGCUUGAAUGACAUAUAGUUAGGAUAGAGAAACACAGAAAAACAAAGGGGUCCAUACCAGGCUGGUGAAACCCACAGAAACAGCUGACCUGAACAAAGGAAAACUCUUGGUUCCCAGACUGAUAGCUGGGAAACCAGCAUGGGACUGAUCCAGACCUCAUGAAUGUGGGUGCCAGUGAGGAGACCUUAGAAAUCUAUGGGGUCUCUUGUAGUGGAUCAGUACUUAUUGCUACCAUAGGAAUGGACUUUGGGAGCCCAUCCCAUAUGGAGGGAUACUCCCUGAGCCUAGACAAAAGGGGGUUGGCCUAGGCCCUAUCCCAAAGAAUAUGACAGACUUUGAAAACCCCCUAUGGAAGGCCUCACCCUUCCUGGGGAACAGAAAGGGUAUGGGAUAGGUAGGGCGUUAGUUGGGGGGGAGGGGAGGGAGAGGGAGCUGGGAUUGACAUAUAAAAUAUUUUUCUUUCUAAUUAAAAAAAAAAGGAAAAGAAAAACAGCCUGUUUCCCGCUGAGCUCCUGGAGCAGCAUUUAGGCUGCCUCAAAGGGCGUGGCAACUACCUGGCAUUGGGCCCACUUCCUCACCGUUCAUUCCCCUGCCCAUUGUCUUUGUCAUUCUUCUUCCCAAGGUCGGUUGCCUGAGUCAGGGAAGUCAGAACUUCAGGAAUUUACAUUCUACUCCCCUGCUCAUCUCUUAGUCUUUGCUCCCUAACUGAAGGCAUUUGCUGCUCACAGGUCAACCUUCACCUGCUGUCUUUGUAAUUCUUUUUUGCUUUGGAUUGCCUUCUAGUAGCUUCUUCAGGAAUGGCUCAUUGGCGCAUGUCCUGAGUGCUGGCAUAGUCUCAGGCCUUGUGGUCUUCGUGUCUGAAGAAUAGUGUGACCAAUAUAACACCCUGAGAACAUAUUUUCUUACAACUAAAAAAUAUUAAGUGUGUAUUGAUGGGGAAUGUCCUUCUGUGUAUAUUUAUCUUACUGAUUGUUGAAUAAAGCACUGUUUGGUCAAUGAGGCAGCAAGUUAGGUGGGACUAGGAAUCGAGGAGGAUUCUGGAAAAUGUGGUAAAAAGAAGUCUUGUGAUAUAGGCAGGAAGUGACAUAGCAGGCAGACUCAUAUAUAAGCAGGGACAAACAGGAAGUCACUCUCUUGAUCCUCCUCUCUACUCUGAAGCCGCCAUGUGAUUCCUGCAAGAGAAGAUGCCUGCAGCUGGCGUCUGAUAAGGUAAGUCUUUAUGGUUGAUACUUAAGACUGAGCUAGCAAGUAAGAAAUCCUAGUCAAUUGGCCAGCAGCAUUGUAACUAAUAUAAGACUCUGUGUUAUACUUGGCGCCAAUGUGGCGGCGGGACUCCGGGACUCGGGUGGCUUCGAGUAAAGACUUACCAUUACAGUGUCUUUAAAGUGUUGCUCCAGUGUUUUCUACCCCAAACUGGAAUUGCCUGGGAGAUGCCAGCAGGACUUUCGUGCUCCUGCUUUUCCAUGGGACAUUUUCCUUUCAUUCCAUGUUUAUGAGCUCCGUAUGGUAUUGACUAGUUUGAUUUACUUCUUGGCAUAGUCAAACCUGCUCAAGCUCAGGAAACAGGCCUGCACUGAAAUUUUCAUUAUUUUUUCUUUGGUGGAGUGGUUGUACUUUUAAAUGUCUCAUGGUUCCACAAUUAUACUUACUGUUAAUCCCAUCAGACAAAAAUAAGAUCAUUACCAAAAUUUUAGGCCAAAUUUGAAGCUAGCAUUAACUAAAUUCUGGCCAGGAUAAUGCCCAGUUCUGGGGUUCCCAGAAAAUGGUGGCAUGCCACAUUUUGCAGAGGCUUAUAAAGGCAAACCCAUAAGACUAUGUAUUUCACACCAAUCAGGGGCAAGCAUAUAUCGUGAUGUGUUUCUUGCCCAGGUACCU
ensembl:lncRNA